CGAGUCGGCCAGGCGACCGCGGCAGAUGUCGAGGAACGUCCGGGCACCGCAGGGCAGAACGGUGGGUAACGCCCACCCGGGGUGACCCGCGGGAAAGUGCAACAGAGAGUAGACCGCCACGGCUAUGCCGAGGUAAGGGUGAAAGGGUGGUGUAAGAGACCACCGGCGCUGUCGGUGACGGCAGCGGCCAGGUAAACCCCGUUCGGUGCAAGACCGCGCAGCAGGCGAGCGGCCCGCUCAACACCUGCGGGUAGGUUGCUAGAGCGUGACGGUAACGUCACGCCAAGAUAGAUGGUCGCCGCCGAUCUUCGGAUCGGAACAGAACCCGGCGUAUCGGCCGACUCGUCCC
rnacentral:RNase_P_RNA from 2 species